CAGUCGCCGCGGUAAUACGUAGGGUGCGAGCGUUAAUCGGAAUUACUGGGCGUAAAGCGCACGUAGGCGGAUCGAUCAGUCAGGGGUGAAAUCCCAGGGCUCAACCCUGGAACUGCCUUUGAUACUGUCGAUCUGGAGUAUGGAAGAGGUGAGUGGAAUUCCGAGUGUAGAGGUGAAAUUCGUAGAUAUUCGGAGGAACACCAGUGGCGAAGGCGGCUCACUGGUCCAUUACUGACGCUGAGGUGCGAAAGCGUGGGGAGCAAACAGGAUUAGAUACCCCCGUAGUCCCUGUCUCUUAUAC
rnacentral:rRNA from 1 species